AGCUUGACCCGAUGCAUAUGUAUGCAUACAAAAUGUUGUUUUUAAUACUUUUUGUUAUGCAUACACGUGUAAUGCUAAGC
rnacentral:precursor_RNA from 1 species